rnacentral:rRNA from 1 species
UACGUAGGGAGCGAGCGUUAUCCGGAAUUAUUGGGCGUAAAGGGUGCGUAGAUGGCAUAGCAAGUCUUUUGUAAAAAUGCUGGGCUCAACCCAGUAGGGCAAAAGAUACUGCAAAGCUAGAGUAUGACAGAGGCAAGUGGAACUACAUGUGUAGCGGUAAAAUGCGUAAAUAUAUGUAAGAACACCAGUGGCGAAGGCGGCUUGCUGGGUCGAUACUGACAUUGAGGCACGAAAGCGUGGGGAGCAAACAGG